CCCUUAGAGUUUGAUCCUGGCUCAGAACGAACGCUGGCGGCAGGCUUAACACAUGCAAGUCGAGCGCCCCGCAAGGGGAGUGGCAGACGGGUGAGUAACGCGUGGGAAUCUACCUAGUUCUACGGAACAACAGUUGGAAACGACUGCUAAUACCGUAUACGCCCUACGGGGGAAAGAUUUAUCGGAAUUAGAUGAGCCCGCGUAAGAUUAGCUAGUUGGUGGGGUAAUGGCCUACCAAGGCGACGAUCUUUAGCUGGUCUGAGAGGAUGAUCAGCCACACUGGGACUGAGACACGGCCCAGACUCCUACGGGAGGCAGCAGUGGGGAAUAUUGGACAAUGGGCGCAAGCCUGAUCCAGCCAUGCCGCGUGAGUGAUGAAGGCCUUAGGGUUGUAAAGCUCUUUCAGUGGGGAAGAUAAUGACGGUACCCACAGAAGAAGCCCCGGCUAACUUCGUGCCAGCAGCCGCGGUAAUACGAAGGGGGCUAGCGUUGUUCGGAUUUACUGGGCGUAAAGCGCACGUAGGCGGAUUGGUCAGUUAGGGGUGAAAUCCCAGAGCUCAACUCUGGAACUGCCUUUAAUACUGCCAGUCUAGAGUCCGGAAGAGGUGAGUGGAACUCCUAGUGUAGAGGUGGAAUUCGUAGAUAUUAGGAAGAACACCAGUGGCGAAGCGGCUCACUGGUCCGGUACUGACGCUGAGUGCGAAAGCGUGGGGAGCAAACAGAUUAGAUACCCUGGUAGUCCACGCCGUAAACUAUGAGAGCUAGCCGGUUGGAGGGUUUACCCUUCAGUGGCGCAGCUAACGCA
rnacentral:rRNA from 1 species